rnacentral:rRNA from 1 species
CCUACGGGAGGCUGCAGUGGGGAAUAUUGGGCAAUGGGCGCAAGCCUGACCCAGCAACGCCGCGUGAAGGAAGACGGUUUUCGGAUUGUAAACUUCUAUCUAUAGGGAAGAAAGAAAUGACGGUACCUAAAUAAGAAGCCGCGGCUAACUACGAGCCAUCAGCCACGGUAAUACGUAGGGGGCAAGCGUUAUCCGGUAUUACUGGGUGUAAAGGGAGAGUAGGUGGCAAGGUAAGCGAUAUGUGAAAGCCUUAAGCUUAACUUAAGGAUUGCAUAACGAACUAUCUAGCUAGAGUACAGGAGAGGAAAGCGGAAUUCCUAGUGUAGCGGUGAAAUGCGUAGAUAUUAGGAAGAACACCAGUGGCGAAGGCGGCUUUCUGGACUGAAACUGACGCUGAGGCUCGAAAGCGUGGGGAGCGAACAGGAUUAGAUACCCUUGUAGUC